ACGAACGCUGGCGGCGUGCCUAAUACAUGCAAGUUGAGCGCUGAAGGUUGGUACUUGUACCGACUGGAUGAGCAGCGAACGGGUGAGUAACGCGUGGGGAAUCUGCCUUUGAGCGGGGGACAACAUUUGGAAACGAAUGCUAAUACCGCAUAAAAACUUUAAACACAAGUUUUAAGUUUGAAAGAUGCAAUUGCAUCACUCAAAGAUGAUCCCGCGUUGUAUUAGCUAGUUGGUGAGGUAAAGGCUCACCAAGGCGAUGAUACAUAGCCGACCUGAGAGGGUGAUCGGCCACAUUGGGACUGAGACACGGCCCAAACUCCUACGGGAGGCAGCAGUAGGGAAGCUUCGGCAAUGGACGAAAGUCUGACCGAGCAACGCCGCGUGAGUGAAGAAGGUUGUCGGAUCGUAAAACUCUGUUGGUAGAGAAGAACGUUGGUGAGAGUGGAAAGCUCAUCAAGUGACGGUAACUACCCAGAAAGGGACGGCUAACUACGUG
rnacentral:rRNA from 1 species